GGAGCCGUGGGGGCUGAGCUGUCCCGCUACCCACGGGUUGACCUUCCCGAACGCCGGGUCCCGUGACGUCACCUCGCCGUGACGCGCACGCUGUAGGAAAACUAACAAUUAAAAGGAUUUACAAUAUAUGUUAUGACUUUUUACUGGAGCCUUGAGUGACAGGAAAAGCCAUAGACUGAACUUCCAAGCCGCCUGCACUGUGUUCCUGCUCUCUGAUGUGACCCUUAUGAGGGAGCUCCUGGUAUCGCCUUUCAACUAGCACGCUGAGACCUGCCCUGUCCCUCGGAACUUUGCCGCUAUAACCUCAUUUGCAUUUAUACUGACCAGUCAGAGCAGUUCCAUAACGACUAAACAGAAUGCGCAAAGCGGACCAAUCAGGACAGUGGUAUUUGGACCAAUGGGAACUAUGCUGUUUGGAUUCCUCAUCGGCAUAGAAACGAACCAAUCCUGAACCAGGGUAGGAACUUCCCUAUAAAAAGCGUCCUCCCCUUUGUCUUUGUGGAACACACCUUUGGCUUUCUCCGGAGGCUGCGUUUCCCCAGUUUGCAUAUUGUUCACCUUUUUACCGCAACCCAGAUUGGGGAUUCCUGUUGGAUCGGUAGCAGUGACCUUUAGUUGACAGAGGGAAGUUACUAUUCAAGUCAAACACAUCACAAUACAGAAUUCUUUAUCAGUACCACCAGAAGA